rnacentral:rRNA from 1 species
AAACAUGGCUCCUUGAAAUUUAAUAAUAAGGAGUCGGACCUGCCCAGUGAAUUUUUCAACGGCCGCGGUACUCUGACCGUGCAAAGGUAGCAUAAUCAUUUGCCUUAUAAUUGAAGGCUAGUAUGAAUGGUUUGACAAGAAUAUAGCUGUCUCUUUAUGAUUUAAUAGAAUUUUAUUUUUAGGUGAAGAAGCCUAUAUAGAAUUAAAAGACAAGAAGACCCUAUCGAGCUUAUAAAUAAUUUAACAAGAACUUAAAUUAAUAAAAUUAAAAAAUUAGCUAUAAAAAAUUUUAGUUGGGGCGACUAAGGAACACAAAAAGCUUCCUUUAAAAAUUACUUAAAUGAAACAAAAACUGAUCCAGAAUAUUCUGAUUAAAGGAAUUAGUUACCGUAGGGAUAACAGCAUUAUCUUUUUCAAGAGCUCAUAUCGAAAAAAAGGUUUGUGACCUCGAUGUUGGACCAGAAUAUCCUAAAGAUGCAGCAGUCUUUAAGGGUUGGUCUGUUCGACCAUUAAAAUUCUACGUGA